rnacentral:piRNA from 1 species
UAAUAAUAAAUUUCACCCAAA